AUGUCAUCGUGAAGUCGAAGCUGGCGUUACGCAGCUUCCUGAAGGAAUUCAGGAAAGUAAACGAGGAGAAUUGCUGGAAGCCCGAGCCGCAAGGCGGGUAAUCAGCAGCCGAGCUCGCGUAAGCGAGAAGGUUCAGAGACUAUCCCGCAAGGGAGUAGAUCGGAAACGAUCGAAGCACCUCGCAUCCCAUCCGCCAGUCAGCGAAGGAUGAUGAUAUAGUCCACCCCCUUUGGAAACAUCGGG
rnacentral:ncRNA from 1 species